GGCUCAGAUUGAACGCUGGCGGCAUGCCUUACACAUGCAAGUCGAACGGCAGCACGGGGCAACCUGGUGGCGAGUGGCGAACGGGUGAGUAAUGCAUCGGAACGUGCCAUUGAGUGGGGAUAACGUAGCGAAAGUUGCGCUAAUACCGCAUAUUCUGUGAGCAGGAAAGCAGGGGACCGCAAGGCCUUGCGCUCUUUGAGCGGCCGAUGUCAGAUUAGCUAGUUGGUGAGGUAACGGCUUACCAAGGCGACGAUCUGUAGCGGGUCUGAGAGAAUGAUCCGCCACACUGGAACUGAGACACGGUCCAGACUCCUACAGGAGGCAGCAGUGGGGAAUUUUGGACAAUGGGCGCAAGCCUGAUCCAGCCAUGCCGCGUGAGUGAAGAAGGCCUUCGGGUUGUAAAGCUCUUUCGGCCGGGAAGAAAUCGCAUGGGUUAAUACCCUGUGUGGAUGACGGUACCGGAAUAAGAAGCACCGGCUAACUACGUG
rnacentral:rRNA from 1 species